GGGCCCGUAGUCUAGCGGCUAGGAUGCCCGCCUGACGCGCGGGAGAUCCCGGGUUCGAAUCCCGGCGGGCCCA
rnacentral:tRNA from 1 species